rnacentral:rRNA from 1 species
ACUACGGGAGGCAGCAGUGGGGGAUAUUGCACAAUGGGGGGAACCCUGAUGCAGUGACGCCGCGUGGGUGAAGAAGCGCCUCGGCGCGUAAAGCCCUGUCAGCAGGGAAGAAAAUGACGGUACCUGAAGAAGAAGCCCCGGCUAACUACGUGCCAGCAGCCGCGGUAAUACGUAGGGGGCAAGCGUUAUCCGGAUUUACUGGGUGUAAAGGGGGCGCAGACGGCGAUGCAAGCCAGGAGUGAAAGCCCGGGGCCCAACCCCGGGACUGCUCUUGGAACUGCGUGGCUGGAGUGCAGGAGGGGCAGGCGGAAUUCCUGGUGUAGCGGUGAAAUGCGUAGAUAUCAGGAGGAACACCGGUGGCGAAGGCGGCCUGCUGGACUGCAACUGACGUUGAGGCCCGAAAGCGUGGGGAGCAAACAGGAUUAGAUACCCCUGUAGUC